rnacentral:rRNA from 1 species
CUACGGGUCGCUCCAGUGGGGAAUAUUGGACAAUGGGGGAAACCCUGAUCCAGCAAUGCCGCGUGUAGGAUGACACUUUUCGGAGCGUAAACUCCUUUUAUAUAGGAAGAAGAUGACGGUACUAUAUGAAUAAGCGCCGGCUAACUCCGUGCCAGCAGCCGCGGUAAUACGGAGGGCGCAAGUGUUACUCGGAAUCACUGGGCGUAAAGAGCGUGUAGGCGGAUUAAAAAGUCAGAAGUGAAAUCCUAUAGCUUAACUAUAGAACUGCUUCUGAAACUCUUAAUCUAGAAUAUGGGAGAGGUAGAUGGAAUUUCUGGUGUAGGGGUAAAAUCCGUAGAGAUCAGAAGGAAUACCGAUUGCGAAGGCGAUCUACUAGAACAUUAUUGACGCUGAGACGCGAAAGCGUGGGGAGCAAACAGGAUUAGAUACCCUCGUAGUC